rnacentral:snoRNA from 1 species
UUCCUCCACAUGAUGAAGUAUUUCGGAUGUAAAAUUUUUUUAAAUUGUCAAUAUCCUAAAGCGCAAACCAUGCGGAUAUUUCCGUUGCCUUCCUUCUGACUUCGAGGU